AAAAAUUGUUGUGAAUGGAUUAUGAAUUUUAUUUUUAUAUAAACAUUAAAAAAAAAAAAACUGAUGCCUUUACAUGACCAUGGCAAUAUACAUGAUAUCCUAUAGUAUUAUCCAAAUGCUAUUAACUUUGUCAAUGUUCAUUUUAGAUUCUGAGUGGACUGAAGAAGCUUAUGGUUUUACAGAAAUGUUUAUUUUUUUUUUCUAUGGAUAACUUUUCUACCAGAGAACUUGCUCUGAUUUGUACGUGUAGUAGUUUAUCUCAAAAGAAAUUAAUGCAGAGGGAUACCUUAGAGAAGUAGUUUUUUGAUUUUCUCAAGAGUUUUCUCAUACAAUGUGAAAAACAGGAAAAUGUAGAAAAUAUAUUUGUAUAAUACUAUGUUUUUUUUUCUGUGGACAACUUUUCUACCAGCAAUUUUGAUCCAACUAAUAAUCACAAUUUUUCUGUAAGGAAAUUUUACUG